GCGCAGGAACAGCUGGUGCCUCGGGAGGCGGCUAGUGAGCGGGCGGGCGUGGGCUGCUGGUGGCCGGACGGGUCACGCUGCGGGUUUCGUCGCCGCCGCCGCCGCCGCCUUGCACCAUUGCACCAUGUCCGGCCAGCUGGAGCGUUGCGAGCGCGAGUGGCACGAGCUGGAGGGAGAAUUUCAGGAGCUGCAGGUCUCCUGUAUUUACUCCCUGUCUCCCUGCCAGCACCUCCAUCUUUAGGAGACACACAGGAUCUAUAAGCAGAAGCUGGAGGAGCUGACCUCCCUGCAGACGCUGUGCAGCACCUCCAUCAGCAAGCAGAAGAGGCACCUGAAGGACCUGAAGCACACACUCCAGAGGUACAAGCGCCAUUCCAGCCAUGAGGAGGCGGCGCUCAUCCAACAGAUGACCGCCAACAUUAAGGAGCGACAGAAUGUCUUCUUUGACAUGGAGGCCUACCUACCGAAGAAGAAUGGGCUCUACUUGAAUCUGGUUCUUGGCAACGUGAGCGUGACCCUCCUCAGCAAUCAGGCCAAGUUUGCUUACAAGGAUGAGUAUGAGAAGUUUAAGCUCUACCUGACCAUAAUUCUUCUUCUGGGUGCUGUGGCGUGUCGAUUUGUCCUUCAUUACAGGGUGACCGAUGAAGUCUUCAACUUCCUGCUCGUGUGGUAUUACUGCACCUUGACCAUUCGAGAGAGCAUCCUCAUCAGCAAUGGUUCCAGAAUCAAGGGCUGGUGGGUGUCUCACCAUUAUGUCUCCACGUUCCUGUCUGGAGUGAUGCUGACUUGGCCUAAUGGACUAAUUUACCAGAAGUUUCGAAAUCAGUUUUUAGCGUUCUCCAUUUUUCAGAGCUGCGUUCAGUUUCUACAGUACUAUUACCAGAGGGGCUGUCUCUACAGACUGCGGGCCCUGGGGGAGAGGAACCACCUGGACCUCACAGUGGAAGGGUUCCAAUCCUGGAUGUGGCGGGGCCUCACCUUCCUCCUGCCUUUCCUCUUCUGUGGCCAUGGGAACUGACGGGUGAGGGGCGCCUGUCUCCCUGUCUUCAGUUCUGGCAGCUCUACAAUGCCGUCACCCUGUUUGAGCUCUCCACCCAUGAGGAAUGCAAAGAAUGGCAGGUAUUCGUGCUGGCUCUCACCUUCCUCAUCCUCUUCCUGGGCAAUUUUCUGACCACGCUCAAAGUUGUCCAUGCCAAACUCCACAAGAACAGAAACAAGACAAAGCAGCCAUGAACCUCCGGACCCUUGUGCCACCUGGGGGCCUUGGGACCUAAGACUGCUGGGCGUUCCAGUCAGCACCCUGGCUGCCGGUCAGUGGUAGCCAUGGGCAGCAACAUCUCAGGGGCCAGCAGCAUCACCGGGAGCAGGGCCAAGGCCCCGGUCCCCGGCGGACAUGAGGAAUGUGAAGGCCACCUGCGCGCGCAGUAUUAACCUGUCCCAGCUCCCUAUUUAUAACAUAUUUAAUAUCGGGUCUUCCCUGCUUCCCUGGAAUCCGAGGCCUGCCUUCCCUGGAGCUCUGUGUAAUGGCCGUGGGCAGGCCUGUGUCUGUCUUUCAGGGAGGGGCCAGAAGCCUCAGGGAACCCCUCUCUUCCUACUCCUAUCAUUUGAAUCCCUCACUGGGGUUUAGAUGUGCCUCACUCGAGUUGGCUUUAGCCGACCUGCUACUUUACUGUGUCCCAGGCACCGGGAGGAAUGAAACUUUGAGCAUCCUGUGGAGCCUCCCCUGUCCUGGGCCACCACCUCUUCUGUAAGCCUCCCACAGCCCCACCUUCUGCGGUGGACAAAUAUUUAAGUUCUCAGAGAACCUACCUGUGUUGUCUCUUGCCUUGGUCUCCGGAACCGCAGGCCUGCUGGCCACUGGGGGAAAGAGAUGCAGCCUCCUUGGGACCUCCAUGUGGCAGGGUGUUAAGGACGCGGACGGCCUCCACCAGAGGGCGCCCAGCCUCUGGGUUGUUGGAGUUCUGGCGGACUCUUGGGUGCCUGAACCCUCCAGCCACCUUCAUAGACUUGCUGAGAGUCCUUGGCAUAGGAGCCAGGCCCUCCUUGUGACUGGAACUUCAGCCAUUCGGAGGUCACCCAUUCCCUUCCUCUCUUCAUCUCAGAGGUUCUUUUUUGUACGGGAAGGGGAGGAGUGGAAGGGUCUAAGUGGGCUCAGCCCAGGGUGUGACCCUGUGAGGUCCAGGAAGCAGCAAGAGUGGAGGGGCAAACAGGUCCAGUUUGAGUGUUCUGUCCCUGCCCAGCCUGCUCAGACCCAAUGUCACGGCUGGCCGCCUCAGACACGUUUCAUUUGGUCCUCACAGGACUUACUUUAAAAUUCUUUAGUUAUGUGAUAAAAAUGAGAACUCGCCUCCUCCAUGGUGAGAUUCGACAUAAUCCAGAUUUCUGUUUACCUUGCAAAAACUGGGAAGGCCUGGCAACAUUCCCAGAGGUCAAGAGCAUUUACCUGCCCCUGUUUGCCGCAGCCCGCCCCUCCCUUCAUGCCUGCCCUAUUUCUGCCCUUGGUCUCCUGUCCCCAGAUCACCUGGCCUAUCCUUUGCAGGCACCUGGGAUCGCCUCCCCUUAAAGCCCAGAAGAUGAGUAUCUUAGGCUUUGUGGACUAGUCCUGUGGCAGCUUCAGCUUGCACUUGUAGAGCAAAAAGUGCCAUUACAUGAUGGUGGCUAUUCAAUAAAACUUUAUUUACAAAA